rnacentral:lncRNA from 1 species
CCGCUUUUCACAGAUGGAGUAUUGGCUAACGCUCAGGGUGUUUGUCCCCCUGGAAUGCCGGGAGGCGCUUUGUUGGUAGCCUUUGGUUUCCUCCUGACACACUUCACUGCAUGGACAGAUGUUUUAAUCCGUAUUUUUCCGGAGGAAGACCAAGUUAUUCGUGGCUAGCCUACUGGACUCCACGUCUGUUGCUGCUUGUGUGUCCAGGUUAGCUCCCGCUCGCCUCAGGUGGGGGCUCAUUAAAUGUGAGACGUCGCUCGUCAGCACUGUCACCCCGGAGGGAAAGCAAGCCUGGGGCCUGCAGACAGACAGGGCUGCGUGCGGCGCCGGUACUGAGAGAAAUUCCAGCCCCGCCGCGGCUUCUCCGCUUCGUCAGGAGACGCGAACACCCAACACGGCUGAGCCGCCCCGCCCGCGGAGGCUGCUGUAACCUGCCGAAGGAAGGGAGCGAGCAUUGACUCAGCGUAAACACAUUCUCUGUUGCUAACUGGUCACCUGCUCAGGGCCAGGACUUGUUCCAGCAGCCUGUUAAAACAUGGUGGAUUACUAUGAAGUUCUAGGCGUGCAGAGACACGCCUCGGCCGAGGAUAUUAAAAAGGCAUACAGGAAACUGGCACUGAAGUGGCAUCCAGAUAAAAAUCCUGAGAACAAAGAAGAAGCAGAGAGAAAAUUCAAGCAAGUAGCUGAGGCGUAUGAAGUGUUGUCAGACGCUAAAAAACGGGACAUCUAUGACAGAUACGGCAAAGAAGGAUUAAACGGUGGCGGUGGAGGUGGAAGUCACUUCGACAGUCCAUUUGAGUUUGGCUUCACAUUCCGAAACCCAGAUGAAGUCUUCAGGGAAUUUUUUGGUGGAAGGGACCCAUUUUCAUUCGACUUCUUCGAAGACCCGUUUGAGGACUUCUUUGGGAAUCGAAGGGGCCCCCGUGGAAGCCGGAGCCGAGGCACGGGCUCGUUCUUCUCUGCUUUCAGCGGAUUUCCCCCCUUUGGAGGGGGGUUUCCUUCCUUUGAUGCAGGGUUCGGUUCCUUCGGCUCACUAGGCCACGGGAGCCUUACGGCGUUCUCCUCCUCCUCGGCCUUCGGCGGCAGUGGGAUGGGCAACUACAAGUCCGUAUCGACGUCGACGAAAGUGGUGAACGGCAGGAAGAUCACCACCAAGAGGAUUGUCGAGAAUGGUCAAGAAAGGGUGGAAGUUGAAGAAGACGGCCAGUUGAAGUCCUUGACGAUAAAUGGAGUGGCCGCCGGCCAAGCUGUCCACAGCUCCAGCCACGGCUGCUCUCCUGGGAGAGGAACCAGCAAAGUCCCCCGAGCCCACAGCCCCAGGCUCCACCGGCGGGGGAGGGAGGCUGGCGGACAGCGCCGAGGGAGGAGGGUCUGCUUCUCCGGCCCCUGCCUCAGCCCAGGGAGGCUGGACCCGGCGACUGUGCCAUCUGGGUUGCCUUCUGCCGUCAGGAUGGCUGGCGCGCUGGCGGCAGCAUCCGGGACCCGGACACUCUGGGAUGGCAGACUGAAGCGGAGAGCACGGGACCAGCAGGACCGGGCCACUCACGCGUCGGGCCCCUGCUGUGUGGCGACACGAGAACACCGGAGGCUAAGCAGUGACUGGGGAGACUGCGGCCCAGGCAAGAGCACUGGCGCGGGCGGCCGUUUCCUCCUCCAGGGGAUGGAACCCGCGUCUCCUGCUUCCAGGGGACUCCCCACCGCGGCGCCACCAGGGCAGCCCCACUGUGCAACCAGGGAGCCCCAAAGGCCCCGCCAACCACGCCAGUGCUGACGGGAGCCAGCAGGGUAGGCGCGCAGGGGCACGUGCAGUCCAGAGCCUCUCUGCUCUGCUCUGCGGGAGACCGAGCCGCGGAAAGGCCUCGGAGCAGCGGCAGCCGUGGGCGCACCCAACCGCAGAGGCGGGGUGUCUGCGGAGGAGACACAGCGCCAUCCAGACACUUGAAGCAAGUCCUUCAGAAACGGAGAAAUUAAUUACGCUUCUGGAUGGCAAGGCUCUCAGAGGUGAGGAGCCAGUCAUCACAAAGUAACGUCUGAUCUGCACACAUUCGCGAUGAGAACCCCGACCAGGUGAGUCUCGCGGGCUGAGUGUGACUUGAUGACCUGGCUCUGAAGGUCACUGGGGUUCAGGUCCCAGAAGAGUAAACGUCCAGGAGCGGCCAAGAAACCCGGGCAGAGAAAAAACAGCUGGCUCUGCAGACAUUAAGAUACAUCAUCAAACGCCGAGGAGGCAUCGUGCGGGCGUGGGAACCAGCAUCGGAAUGGAACGGAUCGUCUGGAAGCAGAGCAGGUGACGCCUGGGAGCCUAGCGAUGAAAGCAGCAUUUCACACCGGGCAGCGGAGGCGCCAUGCAAGCAACACACGCCCGUCUGCAAGAACAUCCAGCGAGAUUCCUACCACAUCCCCCCCGGAAAAAGGGAUGGCUUAAAUCCACACAUUAGAAAGACAACGAACCGCAAAGCAAUUAGAGACAAACUGCAAAAUACUCCACUGUCACAAAACCUAAGCCACUUUUAAAGAUCCGUGCAUCUUAAGAGAUUAAUAUUUCCAACGUAUAAACGGCUCCUUCCAACCAGUACAGAAACAGGGAGAAAAAAAGGGCAUAGACGGUGACCAGGUGAACUGCAGAGGACACGAGUGGGACGCUCACCUCUGUAUCGAUUAUAAAAUGAAAACGGAGCCAGAGUUGCCUACUGCACUGGCAAAAGCUAAAAAGCUUGAUAAUACCUUUCCCCUGUAUACUUCUAUUAUACGUAUAAAUUGGUAAAGCCCUUUUGGAGGGUAAUCUGGCAAUAAAAAUGCACAUACUCUAUGAGCA